AUUGAACGCUGGCGGCAUGCCUUACACAUGCAAGUCGAACGGUAACGGGCCUUCGGGUGCCGACGCGUGGCGGACGGGUGGGUAAUACAUCGGAACGUGCCCGGUCGUGGGGGAUAACGAGGCUAAAGCUUUGCUAAUACCGCAUCCGAUCUACGGAUGAGAGCAGUGGACCGCAAGGCCUUGCGCGGGCGGAGCGGCCGAUGGCCGCGUAGGUAGUUGGUGGGAUAAGAGCUUACCAAGCCGACGAUCUGUAGCUGGUCUGAGAGGAUGAUCGGCCACAUUGGGACUGAGACACGGCCCAGACUCCUACGGGAGGCAGCAGUGUGGAAUUUUGGACAAUGGGCGCAAGCCUGAUCCAGCCAUGCCGCGUGCAGGAUGAAGGCCUUCGGGUUGUAAACUGCUUUUGUACGGAACGAAAAGCCUUCUUUUAAUACAGGAGGGUCAUGACGGUACCGGAAGAAUAAGCACCGGCUAACUACGUG
rnacentral:rRNA from 1 species